rnacentral:rRNA from 1 species
AUUGAACGCUGGCGGCAGGCCUAACACAUGCAAGUCGAGCGGAAACGACACUAACAAUCCUUCGGGUGCGUUAAUGGGCGUCGAGCGGCGGACGGGUGAGUAAUGCCUAGGAAAUUGCCUUGAUGUGGGGGAUAACCAUUGGAAACGAUGGCUAAUACCGCAUAAUGCCUACGGGCCAAAGAGGGGGACCUUCGAGCCUCUCGCGUCAAGAUAUGCCUAGGUGGGAUUAGCUAGUUGGUGAGGUAAUGGCUCACCAAGGCGACGAUCCCUAGCUGGUCUGAGAGGAUGAUCAGCCACACUGGAACUGAGACACGGUCCAGACUCCUACGGGAGGCAGCAGUGGGGAAUAUUGCACAAUGGGCGAAAGCCUGAUGCAGCCAUGCCGCGUGUAUGAAGAAGGCCUUCGGGUUGUAAAGUACUUUCAGUUGUGAGGAAGGGUGUGUAGUUAAUAGCUGCGCAUCUUGACGUUAGCAACAGAAGAAGCACCGGCUAACUCCGUGCCAGCAGCCGCGGUAAUACGGAGGGUGCGAGCGUUAAUCGGAAUUACUGGGCGUAAAGCGCAUGCAGGUGGUUCAUUAAGUCAGAUGUGAAAGCCCGGGGCUCAACCUCGGAACUGCAUUUGAAACUGGUGAACUAGAGCGCUGUAGAGGGGGGUAGAAUUUCA